UGGCUCAGACGGUAAAGCGUCUGCCUGCAAUGCAGAAGACCUGGGUUCAAUCCCUG
rnacentral:tRNA from 1 species